CGCCGCGUGCGGGAUGACGGCCUUCGGGUUGUAAACCGCUUUUGACAGGGACGAAGCGCUGUGACUGUACCUGUAGAAUAAGGACCGGCCAACUACAUGCCAGCAGCCGCGGUAAUACGUAGGGUCCGAGCGUUGUCCGGAAUUACUGGGCGUAAAGAGCUUGUAGGCGGUUCGUCGCGUCGUUUGUGAAAACUUGGGGCUCAACCUUAAGCUUGCGGCGAUACGGGCGGACUAGAGUACUUCAGGGGAGACUGGAAUUCCUGGUGUAGCGGUGAAAUGCGCAGAUAUCAGGAGGAACACCGGUGGCGAAGGCGGGUCUCUGGGAAGUAACUGACGCUCAGAAGCGAAAGCAUGGGUAGCAAACAGGAUUAGAUACCCUGGUAGUCCAUGCCGUACACGGUGGGUACUACGUGUGGGGCUCCUUCCACGGACUCCGUGCCGUAGCUGACGCAUUAAGUACCCCGCCUGGGGAGUACGGCCGCAAGGCUAAAACUCAAAGAAAUUGACGGGGGCCCGCACAAGCGGCGGACCAUGUGGAUUAAUUCAAUGCAACGCGAAGAACCUUACCUGGGUUUGACAUACACCGGAUACCUGCAUAGAUGUAAGCCCCCUUGUGGUCGG
rnacentral:rRNA from 1 species